rfam:Gossypium arboreum cultivar AKA8401 contig_106800_1, whole genome shotgun sequence.
UAUUAAAAAAUUCAUCCAUUUUUAUUGUUAAAAACUAGCGUGGCUGACAAAAUAACCAAACAAUUUUACGUGGCAUGCUAUAUGUACCUCAUGAUAAUAUACAGGAACUAAUUUUUAACAAUUAAAAUGGAUUAAAUUUUUAACA